UACGGGGGGGGCAAGCGUUGUUCGGAAUUACUGGGCGUAAAGGGCUCGUAGGCGGCCAACUAAGUCAGACGUGAAAUCCCUCGGCUUAACCGGGGAACUGCGUCUGAUACUGGAUGGCUUGAGUUUGGGAGAGGGAUGCGGAAUUCCAGGUGUAGCGGUGAAAUGCGUAGAUAUGACAUAGAACACCGAUAGCGUAGGCAGCUUGCUACACGAAUAUUGACACUGAGGCACGAAAGCGUGGGGAUCAAACAGG
rnacentral:rRNA from 1 species